CGUGUGACUAAUAAUAAUGCUUGUAAGCAUUGCAUGAUAUGUAAAUAUAUUUGUGAGUGGUAAUAUUAAACGGAAUAAUCACUUGGAUCUGGAUUUAACGUUCGAUGAAUGUCAAUCUAAUGAUCAAAUGAAUACUAAUGAAAAUAGUUACUACAGCUGGUACCACAUCGUUAUUAAGUGAAGCCGAUCUUGGAGUUUACGUUCCUAGAGAAAUGCGCCUCAUCCGCCCAUGAUACCCGCAUCGACCGCUUGCUAUCUUCGUCAUCGUUGAUGAGGAAAUAAUUCGACAUGCUGUUACCCGUCUGCAAGGUUGCAAGGUCUGAACACGUUGGAAUCGAUAAAGGAACAUUCGCAGAACAGAAGCUUAAAGACUGUGGACUUCGGUAUUUCCAAACUGGAGGCAACACUUCUUGCAGUUUGCAACGGAUCUGCAAUAGUCGUAUUAUGCACUUCGGUAACAAUUUCAAAAAGGAAAAAAUAGUCGUCCGCAUUGCAGUCUACUACAUGUGCAUCAAGUUUCUUCAAAUUUUUUUACCAAAUCACAUAAAGGGAAAAUGUGCCGUAUAUUCGGUUUGGAACCGUACCUGAAAGCCACAAUCCAGAUGCCGUAGAAUGUAGGGACUUGUUAUUGCAUAGAUGUGAAAACCGCAUGUUUCAGGUUUCGAAAUUUCUAGAAUCGUUAUCUAAAAGAUUUGCCGGAACAAAAUGUUCUACAAGGAAGUGGUUUUUUAAGUGUAUAAAAUCAGAAGACCAACCAUGUGAGCGAUGGCGACGGAAAUUAAUCGACGCUAGAUUUCGAACGGAACUGACUGAAUUUCUGUGGUCUACUCGUUACUGCGUGCUGGGCCUUUCACCAAAUGCCACUGAUUCCGAUGAGUCAGAAGUGAUUGAUUUCUUGAAUGGCAGCGAGCUCCAAACUCCAGACCCCCAGUUAUAAAAGGAUCCUAAACAUUGUUUCAUUAAGAUUACACUAUUAGAUUCAUCAUUAUUAAGAUUAGAUAAAUCAUUAUUUGGUUAUCAGGUGAUUAUUAAAAAGCGCCCAAGGUCAUCUCAGGUCGCAGCAUCUCACAAAGAAAAGGAUAUGGAGCACCUGAAAAACUGCCGUAUAUAAGGACUUAAACUGUUUCAAGUAGAUUCUAAAUGUAAAGCUACUUUAUUUUCUAUAUGAAAUUUUGCUUUUCAUGUAAUUUUCUUGCAGUUUCAUGAAUUUUGAUACACUUCAGAAAAUUACAUAAACAAAUAAAGUGGCACACCAAAGAGCAGUUUGCAUUUAAAAGCUUAUCAGACAGGCGAAUUGUUUUCGGCAUAGCUUAAAUUUUAGUUCAAAAUGUCAUCGAUGGAUGGCGCUGCAUCAUUAAUUACGCGAAAAUUUGCAAAUUAAACUCCUCUAAAAGAGUAUGUACAUUUGCAGCUCAUGAUUACUUGCUCAUUAUUGGUAAUUCUGUAAUACGUUAACAAAUGUUAACUAAUAUAUACUACACAAUGUUGAAUUUUAUGUUUCUUAUAAAUGCGUACGUUUCGUUCUUUCGAGCCAAUUACGACUCUGCUCUUGAGUCUUUGAAAUAAUUACUUUUGUUUACAUUGAUAAGCAAAACGAAUAUUAGUUCCUCAUUUACGUGUUAUUAAUUAGCUCUUAAAAUUUAUUGCUCAAUGAGUUUUGAUCUCUACGUUUCAUUUUUAAAAGCUUAAUAAAAGUAAUAUUCUAUCGAAACGUAGACUCUUCCUUUUAUUCCGUUAUUUUCUCAAAACUAAUAAAUCAUAUUUAAUGUGAGAGAAUUGCGAAUUUUGCAACACUGUGAUUCUAACGAUGCCAUCUAUCGAGGAAAAUUUCACAUCAAAACAUAUUAAAGAAGAAUCCACUUUUGUGGUGAAUCCUUAGGUGUAUGCUGCAUUCCGGUAUGCCAUAAAAAUUCUGAUACGUCAUAUUUGUGUGUAUGCAUAAGACGGCGUACAUUUUGUAGCGUGUUUUUAAAUCGUGCCACAAAUGAAAAAUUUUAUUCUUAUUUAUUAUUUUUUUGGGUCAAAUAGUAAUUACGGAAUCGCAUUUAUCAGUCAGUUUUCAAAUAGGUUUUUUUUUUUUUUUUUUUUCAAAUACCGCCUCGUUGCAUCACACUAAUGUAUCCAAGCGGCAUUGGAGGCUGCUCAUUACUUACCGUAACAUAUCACCAGUGAUACUGUUAAUAGCAAAUCUGAUGAAGGAUUUUCAAUUCCAGUUGCUUGCCUAGGUAUUCCCAUAAGGAAAAUUCAGCACAUGUUGGUUGAAGGAUAAAGGCGACCAGAACGAAAAGUACUCUCUGGGGAACUGUGUAUUGGAAAUUACGGUGGAAUAUAUAUGGUCACCUCUUCUUGUGAGAACCAUUAAUGGUCCAAAUCCAUCUUCAACAUCCUUAACUACGGAAGAAAAAAAGCUUGCAGCAUACUAAGGAAGAAAGAAGGCAUCCAACACUGAUAACGGCUGCAGCCAAAUCUUCAUCGCUGUUGCAGCAGAGCUAUCAACUUGACAGAAGUCGUAUUGAAAGACUUAAAAAAAUUGUUAUCAUGUAAUUAUUAUUUGAUAUAGAAAAUAGUAAGUAAAAACAACUACUACGAAUUCUGCCAUACCACGAAUUUAAAUUCAGUAGAGCUGUUACAAGAUUAUCUCCUGAUUUAUGAUUGAAGCGAAAAAACAUAUUGUAUAACAGAAAGCUGAAUUUUAUAGAAAUUUAACGUUUCAUUGCGAACAGUCUUAGACUCGAUCAUUUUUGCAUCACAGUGCUCUAAAAGCUGAGAUGGAUUUCUGUUGAACGUACAUGUUUCCUUUUUUCUCGCUAUAUUAAAAAAAUCUCAGCUUUCCUACAGUAUUCUUCUUGCUUACUGCAGUUUUUUUAUUCAAACUUAAUAAUCAAAUUUGCUUUAUUCAUAUAUAUAUAUGUGUGUGUGUGUGUGUGUGUGUGUGUGUACAUUCUUGUUGAAUUUAUCAAUGUAACGUGAUAUUUGCAAUCAUAAGCCUGUAACUUUAUUCAAUAAGCAUUUGCGUUGGCUUGUUGAAAGUGAAGUACGAUAUAUGUAAUAAAUAAAAUAUGGUAAUCACA
rnacentral:lncRNA from 1 species